AAUGCUGAAAAAGUUCCCAAUUUCCACAACACAUGACUUUUCAGAUACUGUUCAUCUGCCAUAGAUAUUGUUUUAGGCCUCCCUCUGAUUCUUUUGUCCUCUGCAUGUCCAGUUUACUCAAACAUUUUAAGGACACACUGCACACCAUGCCAACAGAGCCACGUUUCUGGCUAGUUCAUCUAGAAUGACCUUUGGCAUGCCUGUUAAACUCUGUUAAUGUUGCCAUUUGCCUAUUAUGUGUAGUUAUAACACUGGUUCAUCCUUGAGUUAGGUGCAUUUUUUAAAAUGUUUUGAGUAAUUGAUUGAGUUGCUUAACAUACAAAAGCUUCCUCUGAAAAUAAUCAGGUACAAGAUUUGGACUGAAAGUGAGCAAAAAAGCAGCCGCUGUCUGAAGAACUUUGAAAGACCUUUUAGAAAGCACAGAGAAGUCCAGUUUAACAAAAAACACAAGUCUGCCUCCUUGGAAGCAAAAUAUAAAUAAAUGAGGGGUGGCUUGAGACUUUUAUUUUUCUCAUGCUUCUCUUUUCUAUUUCUCUCUUCUCAGCAUUUUGAGCCUAAAACUGCUUCAGUCUUUGUUGUCUAUUGCUACCAUGGUAACAAGCGUUGUCAUCUAUGGCAAGGUUAGUGGAAAAGGAAGUGAGUGAUGUGUGAUACCACUGAUUUCCUUUCCAACCCACCGUCAAAUAAAACCCAGGCUGGUAUCCCAGAUACCAAUACCUUAGGAGAGUUCACACUCAUCUACCAACAAAUGCAGAGGGGCAAACCAGUUGGUCAAACUAAAGAGCACUGAAGCUCUUUGAAGUACACUGCGAGAGACGCCAUCUUCUACAAAAUGCUGUGUUAUUAAAAAUAAAAACACAGCUGGUGGAAAAUGUAACGAAGUAAAUAAAAGCCAUAAAAAUAUAUGAAUUAGUCAAUAAUUGUCUGCUGUCAAAACAAAUGAGACUGAGUCACUCAGCACCAUUGGUCGCUCAUGGGCCAACAUUUGGUUAGGCAAAGUUUGCUGCUUACAGUGUAAAUAAUCUAAAAAGAGUACGUAAGUGUCAUCCUAGCAUACAGCGUCAUUUUAAUAAAACGAUGUAAUCUCACUCUAAGCUGAACUCUGCCCUGAUUUUUUUCAUAGCUAUUUAUUGUGGCAUUCCAUUGUUUAUUUUGUUGUCAUGUUAAUUUAUAUAAAUUUAAAACAGCUUUUAGCUUUAUUAGGAACAACAACACUCAAACUGAAGCCUAAUUGAGCACAGAUCACUGACACUGACACGAUAGGUGCACCGUCUGUCUGUACCUGGACGUCGCCUGCCACUACCAAACGACUCAGUGAAAGAAGCCUGUCUGGGUGGAGCAGCAGCUUUCUUCUCCUCUUGAGGCGGGCUUCAGUGGCUUUUAAAGAGUAGUAGCUUGCAUGUGUGGCACUAUGUUAAAGAUAGAGACAUGAAAAUAGUAGCCCCCCAUUUUAUUUUAUGCUCAAAGACACUUUCUUUUAGUAAGGCCACUGUAAUGUCAGUUUUACUGUUAUAUAAGUUCCGCCAGCAGAGGGCGCUCAGUCUCGUACGCAUCGGUAGCUGACGCUACACUCGAAGAAGUGUCAGGGGUGAAGAGGCAGCGUACGGCCCGCGCGCCGAAAGAACUGAUUAAUGUCACAUUUUUCUGUUUUUACAGAUCACUCCCAUGCAGAGGCCUAACGGAGGCCUGUGAAGGGCUGGGGGUCUACAAGAGCCGAUGGGGACCACAUGGAUGAGCAUGGGCUGGUGAGCCAGACAGUUACGGAUCGCUUGCUUUUAAUUAGUGGGUUCACAUGCACUCCAUGUGGAGCUGCAAGCCCACCGCAAACGCAUGGAAGAUGUGACAGUUGGGAGACACGGCCCGAGGAACGGCUCCGGCAUUACUGCAGCGUCUCAACUCAACACAAUGCCCAAUGUGCACGCCAGACCCAAAGCAAUUAGCUUCUAAGGUUCCCCCUCGUUCUUUUCCUUCUCUCUUUCUUUUUAAUGUCGGAGCUUGGAAAGGCUCAAUAUAAUCAAGUCAAGAAAAGUUUAUUCUGUUUAGAAUUCCAUCUGGUUCCAGGGGGGGCUAAUUUUAGCGGCGUGCAGGAGUGGUAUGCAGUGAGGCUGCAUGUACCAUCCUACUUAGAGCAGUGUGCGGAGGGGGGGGGGCUUUGUGCAGACACCCAGGCUCCUAGGCAAUAGACUGGCCGACUGGUGUUUCUAAACACUGCUGUAGCCGUUCUCCCAUCACUCAGCACAACCCGUGUUCCAACAAAACGUGUCCCUCUGGCACUUACCACAGGAUCCAAGGCUCUUUCACCCCCCCGCACCUUCUACCCAGAAAUCCCCCUGCCCCCUCCUCUUUCCUCACUCUUUCUUGGUAACUUUUACUGUGUUUCAGCGGUUGAGCAUCACCUCAGCUGAAGGCCGUGCAGAAAGAGUGACUACGCUCCAAGCUGUGAUGCAUUGCUGAUUGGAUGUGGCACUUGAAAUUACCUCGGGCCCGACUACAGUCAUUAUGUAUGCCUGCAUCAUUUACAAGCAAGGAUGGAGCAGCGAAAUUAAAUUUGCAGGAAAAGUAUCGCUUUUGUUUCUCUAUGAGAUGAUUGCAGGAUUCUGACAAAACAUAAUUCUCUAAUUUCAGGGUUAAAAAGUGACGUCUCUAAUCUCUCAAAUGAAACAUUCACAGAAGGACUUUUCAUUUUCUGCAUUUCUGGCAAGUGUCCUACCUGAUGUACCUGAGCGAAGGGAAAGAUGUACAUUUCAGUUUAUUUAACUGCAGCUCCCUCAGUGCAGCGUGCUAAUUUACUACCACCUGUAGCUGUACAGUGAAGUAUGAAAUCACACCUGACUGCACAGCUUUCACAGUGUACAUGUAAAGUUGCUGUAGUUUGUGGAAAAUUAUGGCCUGUGGGGCUGUGGAUGUGGCCGCCUUAUUCUUUUGGGCUACAGCAUGUUUAACAGAGGAUAGAGGGAGACUUGUCUUAAGUCAGACACAAAAAGGGAAGCCUUUUCACGCCUUACUGAAGAAACCUGAGAGAGCUUAUAUAUGAGCUCUGUGGGACCUGCAGAGUCCAGUAGUGAUUCGAACCAGUUAAGAAUAACACACCCUCACCUACUAAGUAGUGUUUGGGCUAAUAUUUUUUCUUUGGGAAAAAAAACCUCUGGUCAGAGCGCUGAUUUGUUUCUGUCUCUGACCUGCCAUUUGUCAUUUAACAUUGUGUGUCAAAAAUGCACCCUCUGAGAAAACCACGCAAAUCCCCUCAGACCAUAAGUAGAUUGUUUAUAGUUUCGCUAAUUUGAUUUUAGCGUAUUUGAUGGAUCGCGGACAAGGGCAGCAGCCACAUAAUCAUAGCACUGAGGCAUUUAUACCCUGCAUAAUUAACAGUCUUACUGUGAAAACCAUCAAGGUUUCACAGUAACCAUGAGAUUAUUUGUGUAUUGCUAAUUUUGAGAAAAGUUUAUUGCUCUUAGCGUACGGCUAGGAGGAUAUAAAUAUCAGUUAUGUGUUUGUCAUGUUUUCAUAGUGGAGAGAUUUUAGUUUCCUGUAAUAAAUGAAGUUUAAUGUGUGAAAACAGUGGAAAUGCUGAGAAUCGGAGGGAGAGAAAAAACACUAAAGAGUCAAAUGAUUUAAU